GUGGGGAUGGAUCACCUCCUUUCUACGGAGUACAAACAUACAUUCANAAUUUUGACUGAAUGUUAUUAACCUUAUUUUUUCACUAGGCCUUUUUAAUAUAUUUUGUUAUGUGACUUUUAUGGCCUAAAAGUCUUAUAUCUAGUUUUGAGAGGACAUCCUCUCUAAUUGUUCUUUGAAAACUGAAUAGUAAAUUUUUUGAUAUUUACAACGACAUCUAAAUAAUUGAAUUAAGUCAAUUUGUUUAGAUUUCAUCGAGAUAGUCAUUUUAAAAAAAUGAUUCAUUGAAAUGUCUUAAAAUACACAUCAAAACAAACAAUCUAUACAAUAGGAAUUUAUAUACU
rnacentral:misc_RNA from 1 species